GUGCCAGCAGCCGCGGUAAUACGAAGGGGGCUAGCGUUGUUCGGAAUUACUGGGCGUAAAGGGCGCGUAGGCGGUCUGAUAAGUUAGAUGUGAAAUUCCCGGGCUUAACCUGGGGGCUGCAUUUGAUACUGUCAGGCUUGAAUCCAGGAGAGGAUAGUGGAAUUCCCAGUGUAGAGGUGAAAUUCGUAGAUAUUGGGAAGAACACCAGUGGCGAAGGCGGCUAUCUGGACUGGUAUUGACGCUGAGGCGCGAAAGCGUGGGGAGCAAACAGGAUUAGAUACCCUGGUAGUCC
rnacentral:rRNA from 1 species